GACGGCGUACCUUUUGUAUAAUGGGUCAGCGACUUACUUUCAGUGGCAAGCUUAACCGUUUAGGGGAAGCGUAGGGAAACCGAGUCUGAACAGGGCGACCAGUCGCUGGGAGUAGACCCGAAACCGGGCGAUCUAUCCAUCACCAGGCUGAAGGUGGGGUAACACCUACUGGAGGGCCGAACCUACGUCUGUUGAAAAAGACGAGGAUGAGUGGUGGAUCGGAGUGAAAGGCUAAUCAAGCUCGGAGAUAGCUGGUUCUCCCCGAAAGCUAUUGAGGUAGCGCCUCGUGUCUCACUCCUGGGGGUAGAGCACUGUUUCGGCUAGGGGGCCAUCCCGGCUUACCAACCCGAGGCAAACUCCGAAUACCAGGAAGUGCAAUCACGGGAGACACACGGCGGGUGCGAACAUCCGUCGUGAAGAGGGAAACAACCCAGACCGCCAGCUAAGGUCCCAAAAUCACGGCUCAGUGGGAAACGAUGUGGGAAGGCCCAGACAGCCAGGAGGUUGGCUUAGAAGCAGCCAUCCUUUAAAGAAAGCGUAAUAGCUCACUGGUCGAG
rnacentral:rRNA from 1 species